CCCAGUGAUGACCUCAAGGUGGCUGUCAACAACUCGUCAAUUGUUGAGAUGACAGCAACCUGCCCUUCAAGUGGACCACAGCUUGAAAUAGGCACCAGAACAAGACAGCAGACCUUGUGCAAUGCACUCUCCCACGGGCCUCCCAUUCCAAUUUCCCCUUUUUAAGCCUUUCUCCCCAGCCUAAAGUUUUAAGAGGUUUCUGGAGGCGUAAGGAUUCUAUUUAUGUUUAAUGAACAAAAAAAUUAGUUUCAAUGAAAACUUUAUUUGAAAUGAUGAAUUCAAGCUGUUACCAGCCUCCCAAGUAAGAUGCCAGAGACUUCAAACACUGCUGUUGUUUCUCAAGGAAAAGAUCCAGUUAACAAGGAAUCAUUCUCUCUUCUUCAAUAGCUGCUUACGAAAUAAAAACAUCAGUAGGAGGGGAAGGAGGAAGGAAGGAGAAGAAAGAGGAAGAAUAGGAGGAGAAGAGGAAGAGAGGAAGAAGUCGUGAACAGCCCUCCUGCAUUUUGCAUCAGGUAGAAAAGUCAGUUGAAUGUUGGGAAGAACACAAAUACUCACACAUUCCUCCCCAUUCUCUGAAUUCCCACAAAGACUGUUAUUGCUGGGGCUCAUAAAAUUAUACCCCAAAGUAUGAUGCUUUGGCAUCCAGAGUGCUUUGAACUAUAGGAGAUUGAAGGCCCCAGAAGCCAAGUUUCCCUCUGACCUUCUCCUGCCUUCCUGUCUUCCACCCCCUGCUUUUCCCCUGAAGUGAGUCCUGGAAGCCAGAAUUCUUCUUGCCCAAAGCAAGCCGUGACACCCUGGAAAUAUCACUCUAACCUUCCUUGCCUUUCCGUGUGGCAGCUGGCCAUGAAGAAAUUCUCUGACCUACCUUGUUUGAUAGCAGAUCACAAGACCCUGGUUCCAGAGCGGUCCUGCUUUACACCGAGGGAAAGGAAUGUCAUACAGAAAGGCCAAGAAGAAUCUGAAGAGAUGUCCAAUCACCUUUUCACGUGGCUGCCCAUUCUUCAUUGAACCUAAGCAUUAAAAUAGACAGUUUCCCCUGGGUCUUUGGGUCUUCAUUUCUGAAGACUCCAUGUCAUGUAAAACUUUGAUUAAAUAAAUGUAUCAUGCAUUACUUUUGCUAACCUGUCUUUUGUUAUAGGAGUGUCGCCUGUGACCUUUAUGAUGGGUAAGGAAAGAUUUCACAUCUUUUCUACCCCUACAUUAUCAUACUGUGAAAUUUUAUUAUAUGCUGUCUUGCCCUCAUAGAAAGAGAAUUUUGGAGUUUGAAAGAAUCCUGCUAAUCAUGAAAUCUGGUCCUUUAUUUAACAGAAAAAUUCCCAGAGACAUGAAAUGAUUAGUACUGUUUCACAGAGAAGCAGAGGGAGAGCCAG